AAUGGCUGCAGUAAUAUAACUGUACAAAGGUAGCAUAAUCAUUAGUUUUUUAAUUAAAAGCUUGUAUGAAAGGUUGGACGAAGUAAAAUCUGUCUCUUUUUAAUAUAAUUAGAAUUUAAUUUUUAAGUAAAAAAGCUUAAAUUUAUAUAAAAGACGAGAAGACCCUAUAGAGUUUAAUAAUUUAUUUUAAAUAAUUAAUUUAGAUUUACUUAUUUUAUUUAUUAUAUAAUUAUUUUAUUGGGGUAAUAAAAAGAUUAAUAUAAUUCUUUUUUUUAUUUUACAUUAAUGUAUGAAUUAAAUGAUCCAUUUUUUAUGAUUAAAAGAUUAAAUUACCUUAGGGAUAACAGCGUAAUUUUUUUAAAGAGUUCAUAUCGAUAAAAAAGUUUGCGACCUCGAUGUUGGAUUAAAGAUUAAUUUAGGUGUAGAAUUUUAAAUUUUUGGUCUGUUCGACCAUUAAAUCUUUACAUGAUCUGAGUUCAAACCCGGUGUAA
rnacentral:rRNA from 1 species